rnacentral:rRNA from 1 species
CCUGGUUGAUUCUCCAGUAGUCAUAUGCUUGUCUUAAAAAUUAAGUCAUGUAUGUGUAAGUAUGAACUAAUUCAGACUGUGAAACUAUGAAUGACUCAUUAAAUUAGUUAUAGUUUGUUAAAUGGUAUCUACUACUCAAAUAACCAUAGUAAUUCUAGAGCUAAUACAUGUAACAAACCUUGAGUUUUGGAAGGGAUGCAUUUAUUAGAUAAAAGGUUGAUGUGUGCUUUGCCCUUUGAUCUAAUGAUUCAUGAUAACUCUACGGAUUGCAUGGCCUUUGUGUUAGAGAUGCAUCAUUCAAAUAUUUACCCUAUCAACUUUUGAUGGUAGGAUAGUAGCCUACUAGAUAGUGAUAGGCGACGGAAAAUUAUGGUUUGAUUUUGAAGAAGGAGCCUGAGAAAUGGCAACCACAUGCAAGGAAGGCAGUAGGUGUGCAAAUUACCUAAUCUUGACAUGGAGAGGCAGUGACAAUAAAUAACAAUACAGGGUUUUAUCUAGUAAUUAGAAUGAGUACAAUUUAAAUCCUUAACAAGGUUCCAUUGGAGGGUAGGUCUGGUGUGAGCAACCGUUGUAAUUCCACCUCUAAUAGCAUAUAUUUAAGUUGUUACAAUUAAAAAGCUUGUAGUUGGAACUAGUGUUAGGUCAUUUGGUCCAUGUCAUGGUGAGUACCAGUCUACUCGUCCUUAUUACCGAUGAUGUGCUUCUAGCCUUAACUAGCCAAGUCAUUCCUUUGGUACUGUUACUUUGAAAAAAUUAGAGUGCUCAAAGCAGGCUACUCUUGUAUACAUUAGCAUGGGAUAACAUCAUAGGAUUUCAAUCCUAUUGUGUUGGCCUUUGGGAUAAGAGUAAUGAUUAAUAGGGACAAUUAAGGCAUCCGUAUUUCCUAAUUAGAGAUGGAAUUCUUGGAUUUAUGAAAGAUGAACAACUGUGAAAGCAUUUGCUAAUGAUGCUUUUAUUAAUCAAGAAUGAAAGUUAGGGGCUUAAAGAUGAUCAAAACCAUCCUAGUCUCAACCAUAAAUGAUGGUUACUAGAGAUCGACGGAUGUUACUUUUAGGACUCCACUGGCACAUUAUGAGAAAUCAAAGUCUUUAGGUUCAGGGAGGAGUAUGGUCACAAGGUUGAAAUUUAAAAAAUUGAUGAAAGGGCACCGCCAGGAGUGAAGCUUGCAACUUAAUUUAACUUAACAUGGGAAAACUUACUAGGUCCAAACAUAGUAAGGAUUAAUAAACUGAGAGCUCUUUCUUGAUUCUAUGGGUAAUGGUGCAUGGUCGUUCUUAGUUGGUGGAGUGAUUUGUCUAGUUAAUUCCAUUAACGAAUGAGAUUUUAGCCUCUCAACUAGCUACAUGGAGGUGACCUUUGUGGCUAGCUUCUUAGAGGGACUUUGGUUGUUUAAGCCAAGAAAGUUUAAGGCAAUAACAGGUUUGUGAUGUCCUUAGAUGUUUCAGGCUGCAUGUAUGCUACACUAAUAUAUUAAAUGAGUAUAUAGCCUUAGUAGAUAGGUCUACAUAAUUUUUGAAAUUUCAUUGUGAUAGGGAUAGAUCAUUGUAAUUGUUGGUCUUCAUUGAGGAAUUUCAAGUAAGCAUGAGUCAUCAGCUCACGUUGACUAUGUCUUUACCCUUUGUACACACCGCCCAUCACUCCUACCAAUUGAAUGGUCCAAUGAAGUGUUUGGAUCAUGAUGACAUGGACUGUUCACUACCCACGAUGUCAUGAGAAGUCCACUAAACCAUAUCAUUUAGAGGAAGGAGAAGUCAUAAAAGGUUUCCAUAGGUAAACUUAUGGAAG